UCGAGAAUCUUCGGCAAUGGGCGAAAGCCUGACCGAGCAAUGCCGCGUGCGGGAUGAAGGCCCUCGGGUUGUAAACCGCGAAAGUGAGGAGGAAGGGCCCGUGAAGAGCGGGUCUUGACCGAUCCACAGUAAGGACGGGCUAAGUUCGUGCCAGCAGCCGCGGUAACACGAACCGUCCAAACGUUAUUCGGAAUCAUUGGGCUUAAAGGGUGCGUAGGCGGACCAUUAAGUCGGGUGUGAAAUCCUUCGGCUCAACCGAAGAAUUGCGCCCGAUACUGGUGGUCUUGAGGGAGACAGGGGUGAGCGGAACUGAUGGUGGAGCGGUGAAAUGCGUUGAUAUCAUCAGGAACACCGGUGGCGAAAGCGGCUCACUGGGUCUCUUCUGACGCUGAGGCACGAAAGCCAGGGUAGCGAACGGGAUUAGAUACCCCCGUAGUCC
rnacentral:rRNA from 1 species